UUUUUUUGUUAGGAAAUUUCACCAGAUGAGUGAUUUUAAACCUGACAUCAACAAUUACAAUGCCCACAGAAACAACUGCAUGUGAAAGGAAUAAGGUGAAAAUUCAGAGGUGUCCUGUUGUAGUUCAGGUAUUGUGAAUUUGGACGAACAUGAUUACCACUUGUCUGACCUACUAAUAGGUACUUAACAAUGAUUCAGGUUCACGUAUAUCAAAGAAACCCAUCAUCAUUAAGUCCUCUGGAUAAACAAAGAACAAAAUGGCUGACUGGUUUUAUGGAGAGUACAAAAGAAAAGGAAAAGCAGUUGAAAA